AAAAGCACUUUGGAAAGAGAGUGCAAGAGAUCGUGAAAUCAGUGUAAAGGAAACAAACGUAGCUGACGGAUUAGGUAUACAUUCAUCUAUGGCCUUCGGGUUGUGGUGCACUUGUGUACUGGUUGCGCUGGGUCUAUCGAUGCUGGCGCUUGAAGUGAAUAAGUGUGGAACGGCUUGUCCGGAUACCUGUAUUGAUGGAAGGUGCUUGGUGUUGGUGGAGCAGUUCGGAUUAGCGUUUGCGGCCGCAUGUGACUGUGCAUUGGUAUUGAUGGUAGCACAGGUGUUAUCUUGAUUUCUGGUAUGCGGUUGUGUGUGGUUGCUCGUUGAUCUUCCCGGUGUCUAGUUGGUUUUACGUUUGACCCGUCUUGAAACACGGACCAAGGAGUUUAAAGUAUGCGCGAGUCAGAGAGCGGUGUAACUCUACGGCGUAAUGAAAGUGAAUAGCGAAAGUUAUGUGAACGUGAUGGUGGGUUCGUCCUACUUGCAACGUUGCCCCACGCUUGAGCUUCGGCUUGGUGUGGCGGUUGAGCGUAUACUUUAAGACCCGAAAGAUGGUGAACUAUGCUCGAACAGGAUGAAGCCAGGGGAAACCCUGGUGGAAGUCCGAAGCGGUUCUGACGUGCAAAUCGAUCGUCUGAUUUGAGUAUAGGGGCGAAAGACUAAUCGAACUAUC
rnacentral:rRNA from 1 species